GGUGCCUGGUGUCAUCUGGACUCGGUGAGACCAGGCCCUGAACAUGGCUCACAGACCUGUUCAUUCCACCUGCUUCCGUCACAAUGUGCUCGGAGGACCUGCGGGCGGGAAGGGGGCGCCCUCCUCAGGACUGUUUCCCCAGAAGCGGGUGGGACCUCAGACCAGAGCAGGUGGAGACUCGGCCCUGACCCGCCUCAGGCUCUUCAUGGGCACUGGUCUACCUCCCUCCAUGGGCGUAUUUCAGUGAAUCACACCCCAACCUCCACCCCCAAAACCUAGAGCCAAGAGCCAUGGAGAGACUGUUGCACUUCUCCAAACUUUUCACUCCACGCCACCCAGCAGGUUUGAGCACCGCCUUCCAAAUAAACCUGGUCUAGAGCAGGCAACAUUGGUCCCAGGGCUGGACGGAGGCCACCGUCUGCUCAUCGCUGAUUCCCAAGGCCUGAGAGAGGGGCUGGAGGACGACGAAGACCAAAUUAAUCUGGGCACUGGGCUCCAGGGAAGGGCCUGAGCUCCAAGGUCAAUACCAAAGCACUGUAUCUUCAUGAUGCUUUUCAAGGCAAGACAGUAAGAGUCCAGUGGAGGGUUUCCCUGGUGGUGCAGUCGUUGGGAGUCCACCUGCCGGUGCAGGGGACGCGGGUUCGUGCCCCGGUCCGGGAGGGUCCCGCAUGCCGCGGAGCGG